GAUGAAGAACGUAGCGAAAUGCGAUGAGUAAUGUGAAUUGCAGAAUUCAGUGAAUCAUCGAAUCUUUGAACGCACAUUGCGCCCAUUAGUAUUCUAGUGGGCAUGCCUGUUCGAGCGUCAUUAAGUCCACUUAAGCCCUGCUUAGUGUUGGGAGACUGCUCCAGCGGUGCUACCCUGUAGCUACCCUGCAGCUCCUCAAAGACAGCGGCGGAGUUGUGGUAUCCUCUGAGCUUAGUAACUUGUUCUAGCUUUCGAGUACACCACUUCCCCUGCCGUAAAACCCUUAAUUUUUAAUGGUUGACCUCGGAUCAGGUAGGAAUACCCGCUGAACUUAAGCAUAUCAAUAAGCGGAGGA
rnacentral:misc_RNA from 1 species